AAGACUGUACUCGAACAGGAUCAUUUCUAUAGUAAAGUAGU
rnacentral:snRNA from 1 species